rnacentral:rRNA from 1 species
GUGGGGAAUAUUGGACAAUGGGCGCAAGCCUGAUCCAGCCAUGCCGCGUGAGUGAUGAAGGCCUUAGGGUUGUAAAGCUCUUUCAGUGGGGACGAUAAUGACGGUACCCACAGAAGAAGCCCCGGCUAACUUCGUGCCAGCAGCCGCGGUAAUACGAAGGGGGCUAGCGUUGUUCGGAUUUACUGGGCGUAAAGCGCACGUAUGCGGAUCGUUAAGUCGGGGGUGAAAUCCUGGAGCUCAACUCCAGAACUGCCUUCGAUACUGGCGAUCUUGAGUCCGGAAGAGGUGAGUGGAACUCCUAGUGUAGAGGUGGAAUUCGUAGAUAUUAGGAAGAACACCAGUGGCGAAGGCGGCUCACUGGUCCGGUACUGACGCUGAGGUGCGAAAGCGUGGGGAGCAAACAGGAUUAGAAACCCGAGUAGUCC